rnacentral:rRNA from 1 species
CUACGGGAGGCACCAGUGAGGAAUAUUGGUCAAUGGCCGAGAGGCUGAACCAGCCAUCCCGCGUGCAGGAUGACGGCCCUAUGGGUUGUAAACUGCUUUUCUACGCCAAGAAAUCUGAUUACAUGUAAUUAGUUGACGGUAGCGUAGGAAUAAGCAUCGGCUAACUCCGUGCCAGCAGCCGCGGUAAUACGGAGGAUGCAAGCGUUAUCCGGAUUCAUUGGAUUUAAAGGGUGCGCAGGCGGGCUUGUAAGUCAGUGGUGAAAUACUGCCGCUUAACGGUAGAACUGCCAUUGAUACUGCAAGUCUUGAAUAUGGUUGAGGUAGGCGGAAUGUGUUGUGUAGCGGUGAAAUGCAUAGAUAUGACACAGAACGCCGAUUGCGAAGGCAGCUUACUAAGCCAUUAUUGACGCUGAGGCACGAAAGCGUGGGGAGCGAACAGGAUUAGAUACCCCAGUAGUC